UGCUACAUAAUCCGUUCACUGGUAUUUCCAGUGCAGUGGAUGAAGUUGCCUGCCUGGAAAGACUUGCAACGCUAAUUAGCUUCACAGUUAAUUUCUCCCUUUCCUCUCCUUGUGUUCUUGCACCAAGCCACAUUAAAUGCUUAUUUCUCCAGGUUGCUUUGACUCUGUAAAAAUCUCGUAAACUGUAAUCAUUCUCAACUCUCAAGAAACAAGAAUUGGAACAGGGACCGUUGUAUUCUUGCCAGUACGCUACUCACCGGUGGCCAACAAUCGCAUAUGACGUUAAAACAGUGUGUUUUACCCGUACAAGGAAACUAUAAAAGUCUCUGCAGUCGUUGACUAGUGGGUAGGCAGGCCACGAGAUUUGUAUAGAAGGUUGAGCUCUUUGUUUCAUUCACUCGUACUGUUCGAAGAAAAUCCUGUGAGGACCUCAACCCCGAAAAAUGAUUCCAAAACCGCUGGGCACGCUGGCUACUGGAGCUGCUAUUUUCUUGGGUAGUGUGGCCGCUCUCAAUAUCACUUCAUCUAUAGCUAUCGGAGGCUUUCGCUAUGCAACUGAGCUCAAACUGAGAAAGGAUGCAUUGCCUUGUGGAGUAUGCAGAGGAAAAGGGUAUUAUAUAUGCAAAUUGUGCAAAGGCAAUGCUACUAUAAAGUGGUCGCCUUUAUAUGAUCCCAUUGCUGUGAACCCUUGCCUUUGCCCUACUUGUGAUGGUAACAGGGUUCAGCGCUGUCUAAACUGCCUGGGCAAGGGAUAUAGUUGACUAGUGAGAUGUGGGAAGUCCAGGAUACAAUUUCUAUGCCUUCUUACUCGUUGAUAUCCCCAGAUGAAGCCAAUACAAACCAUGAAGGUGUAAUACUUUCAUUGUUAUCAUAAGUGAGGAUCUAUGCCAAAAGCAAAUGAACCACUAAUUGGCAAAGAUGGGCUUAACCAUGAUACAAGAGAACUCUUUCCUUGUGUGAUUUGUAUCCGUGUCAAACCAUCCUAAUUCCAUUCCAGGCAAAAAUGUAUCAGUUGGAUAAUCCAAACUCUGCCAGACAGUUAUUUCUUCCUGAAUGAGAAUUAGAUUUCCGGA